GACGAACGCUGGCGGCGUGCUUAACACAUGCAAGUCGAACGCUGAAGCUCAGCUUUUGUUGGGUGGAUGAGUGGCGAACGGGUGAGUAACACGUGAGUAACCUGCCCCCUUCUUUGGGAUAACGCCCGGAAACGGGUGCUAAUACUGGAUAUUCACUGGUCUUCGCAUGGGGGUUGGUGGAAAGGGUUUUUCUGGUGGGGGAUGGGCUCGCGGCCUAUCAGCUUGUUGGUGGGGUGAUGGCCUACCAAGGCUUUGACGGGUAGCCGGCCUGAGAGGGUGACCGGUCACAUUGGGACUGAGAUACGGCCCAGACUCCUACGGGAGGCGGCAGUGGGGAAUAAUGCACAAUGGGCGCAAGCCUGAUGCAGCGACGCCGCGUGAGGGAUGGAGGCCUUCGGGUUGUGAACCUCUUUCGCUCAUGGUCAAGCCGCAACAAUGGUUGUGGUGAGGGUAGUGGGUAAAGAAGCGCCGGCUAACUACGUG
rnacentral:rRNA from 1 species